UACAGAGGUCCCGAGCGUUGUUCGGAUUCAUUGGGCGUAAAGGGUGCGUAGGCGGCGCGGUAAGUCGGGUGUGAAAUCUCGGAGCUUAACUCCGAAACUGCAUUCGAUACUGCCGUGCUUGAGGACUGGAGAGGAGACUGGAAUUUACGGUGUAGCGGUGAAAUGCGUAGAUAUCGUAAGGAAGACCAGUGGCGAAGGCGGGUCUCUGGACAGUUCCUGACGCUGAGGCACGAAGGCCAGGGGAGCAAACGGG
rnacentral:rRNA from 1 species